rnacentral:rRNA from 1 species
AUUGAACGCUGGCAGCAUGCCUUACACAUGCAAGUCGAACGGCAGCGGACCUUCGGGUGCCGGCGAGUGGCGAACGGGUGAGUAAUGCAUCGGAACGUACCUUUCAGUGGGGGAUAACGUAGCGAAAGUUACGCUAAUACCGCAUAUUCUGUGAGCAGGAAAGCAGGGGAUCGCAAGACCUUGCGCUGAUUGAGCGGCCGAUGUCAGAUUAGCUAGUUGGUGAGGUAAAGGCUCACCAAGGCGACGAUCUGUAGCGGGUCUGAGAGGAUGAUCCGCCACACUGGAACUGAGACACGGUCCAGACUCCUACGGGAGGCAACAGUGGGGAAUUUUGGACAAUGGGCGCAAGCCUGAUCCAGCCAUGCCGCGUGAGUGAAGAAGGCCUUCGGGUUGUAAAGCUCUUUCGGCCGGGAAGAAAUCGCAUCAGCUAAUACCUGGUGUGGAUGACGGUACCGGAAUAAGAAGCACCGGCUAACUACGUGCCAGCAGCCGCCGUAACAC